rnacentral:rRNA from 1 species
AACGAACGCUGGCGGCAGGCUUAACACAUGCAAGUCGAGCGCCCCGCAAGGGGAGCGGCAGACGGGUGAGUAACGCGUGGGAAUCUACCGUGCCCUACGGAAUAGCUCCGGGAAACUGGAAUUAAUACCGUAUACGCCCUACGGGGGAAAGAUUUAUCGGGGUAUGAUGAGCCCGCGUUGGAUUAGCUAGUUGGUGGGGUAAAGGCCUACCAAGGCGACGAUCCAUAGCUGGUCUGAGAGGAUGAUCAGCCACAUUGGGACUGAGACACGGCCCAAACGCCUACGGGAGGCAGCAGUGGGAAAUAUUGGACAAUGGGCGCAAGCCUGAUCCAGCCAUGCCGCGUGAGUGAUGAAGGUCUUAGGAUUGUAAAGCUCUUUCACCGGUGAAGAUAAUGACGGUAACCGAAGAAGAAGCCCCGGCUAACUUCGUGCCAGCAGCCGCCGUAAAAC